CAACAACGGAUCUCUUGGUUCUGGCAUCGAUGAAGAACGCAGCGAAAUGCGAUAAGUAAUGUGAAUUGCAGAAUUCAGUGAAUCAUCGAAUCUUUGAACGCACAUUGCGCCCCCUGGUAUUCCGGGGGGCAUGCCUGUCCGAGCGUCAUUA
rnacentral:rRNA from 3 species